UAAAAGAUAAGCUAUUUAAGCUAGAGGGCUCAUAAUCCUCCUAUGACCUAUCUCUUUUAA
rnacentral:tRNA from 1 species